AAUAUCAAGAUAUUUGCUAAUCUCUUGUUAACGUCAUAUCUGCGUUUAUUAAUUGAUAGUAAUUUUGCAUUCUGCUGAUAGAAGUGUGUUUCGCCUAAGUAAAACAACUUACAUAACAGUUAUCUACGAUACUAAAAUAUAAAAUACAUAUCAUCAAGAUGCCGGGUAACGUUCAAGAAGGUUUUUCUACGAAAGCUAUUCACGCUGGCCAGGAUCCAGCGCAAUGGAAUCAUUGGUCGUUGGUUCCUCCUUUAGUAAUGUCUACUACUUUUCAACAAAGUCAUCCAGGAGAAAGUCAUGGCUUCGAGUAUGGUAGAAGUGGCAACCCGACGCGUAACGUAUUGGAAACGUGUUUAGCAGCAUUGGAAGAUGGAAAGCACGGUUUUACUUUUUCAUCGGGUUUGGGAGCCAUCACGGCUGUGACAGGUUUACUCGAAACUGGAGAUCAUGUCAUUUCUGGGGACGAUGUCUAUGGCGGAACUAAUCGUUUUUUUCAAAAGUGCUUAGUUAAACAAGGUAUUAAGGUAUCUUUCGUGGACCUGAUAGAUACCAAAAACCUCUUGGCUGCUUUACAACCAAACACCAAGAUGGUAUGGUUGGAGACACCUACGAAUCCUCUAUUAAGAUUAGCAGAUAUCGAAGAAAUUGCCAAAGUUUUAAAGUCCCAAAAUCCAGAUAUUAUUUUUAUCGUCGAUAAUACUUUUCUGACGUGCUAUUAUCAGAAACCAUUAGAACUCGGAGCUGAUUUUGUAGUAUAUUCUCUGACUAAAUAUAUGAAUGGACAUUCGGAUAUUAUCAUGGGUGCAGCGAUUACAAGGAGAGAUGAUUUAGCGGACAGACUUCGUUUUCUACAAAAUGCAAUGGGAGUAGUUCCAUCGCCUUACGAUUGUGCUAUGGUUAAUCGUAGUUUAAAAACAUUAGAACUUAGAAUGCAACAGCAUAUGAAAAAUGGAUUAGCCGUUGCCAAAUUUUUGGAAAAACAUCCUCUAGUGGACAAAGUUAUUCAUCCUUAUUUACCGUCUCAUCCGCAGCAUCAACUUGCUUUAAAACAAUCGACUGGUCACAGUGGCAUCGUUUCGUUUUAUAUUAAAGGAAAUGCUCAAAAAUUUUUGAAGAGUCUUCGUUUAUUUGCUUUAGCAGAAUCACUUGGUGGCUACGAAUCUUUGGCGGAAUUGCCAAGCGUCAUGACGCACGCUUCUAUUCCCGAGGCCACAAGGAACGAAUUAGGAAUCACGGAUCAGUUAGUUCGUUUGUCUGUUGGACUUGAAACGGAAAAAGAUUUGUUAGCUGAUCUUGAUCAAGCUUUAAAAGCUUCUCAAUGAUACCAAAAAUAUUAUUUUUCUAACAUAAUAUUUUCAACAUACACUACGGUUUGCUGACAUAGAGAAAUUAUUUUUUAAGGGAUCUUUUAUAUGUGACAUAUUGCCAUAAUGUGAUACAUUUCUUUCUACGCGUGUGUAUCGACUUUUCUAACUAAGUAUAAAGACAAUGUAAGCGUCAAAAGUGUUUAAAAGAAGUACAAAUAUGCCUUACCUAUACCUUUGACGUUUCUGCGAUUUAAGCCAAGAACGAUUGUAGUUAAAAACUUGAUAAGAAAAUAAUAGAAAGGAAAAAGACAAGAAAAUUGCGUUCUACAUUUUAUAGAUUUUGGAUGCGCCAAAAGGAGGUAUUUUUUAUUUGUAAUAUUAAAAACAAAAUGGAAUAAAUCGUUGAAGAUAUUGGAAA
rnacentral:misc_RNA from 1 species